GAUGAACGCUGGCGGCGUGCUUAACACAUGCAAGUCGAACGGGGUACCCAUGACAGAGGCUUCGGCCAAUUGAUUGGAGUACCUAGUGGCGGACGGGUGAGUAACGCGUGAGGAACCUGCCUUGGAGUGGGGAAUAACAGUUGGAAACAGCUGCUAAUACCGCAUGAUGUGUCUGUGUCGCAUGGCACUGGACAUCAAAGAUUUAUCGCUCUGAGAUGGCCUCGCGUCUGAUUAGCUAGUUGGUGGGGUAACGGCUCACCAAGGCGACGAUCAGUAGCCGGACUGAGAGGUUGGCCGGCCACAUUGGGACUGAGACACGGCCCAGACUCCUACGGGAGGCAGCGGUGGGGAAUAUUGGGCAAUGGGCGCAAGCCUGACCCAGCAACGCCGCGUGAAGGAAGAGGGCUUUCGGGUUGUAAACUUCUUUUGUCAGGGACGAUAGUGACGGUACCUGACGAAUAAGCCACGGCUAACUACGUGCCAGCCGCCGCAGUAA
rnacentral:rRNA from 1 species